rnacentral:lncRNA from 1 species
GGGAUAUUUUGUUAACCUGAUUAUGUUUUCUUUUCUGCAAUAUUUUCCUUUUGCCUUCGUUGAAAUUAUGAUAUUUAACAAGUGUAAUUUUACAGUAUGGUUCUCAUAAGUGAUGUUGUCAAUCUGCAUUGCAGGAGAAUCAGUAGAUUCAUGAACUUUUGGAACCCCAUUUACCAUCAGUAUUGCUAUCUCAACAAUCUUCUAUAUCGGCAAGCAUUUGUCACCCACCAGAAUACUUUCUUUUUCUUUUUUUGUUCUUUUUUUUUUACGGGGAAUCCGCAGCGGCUACUCUUCGGAUGCGCACUGGGUAAACCCUUGGGCUGACGCAAUAGUCUGCAAACCAUGCCAUUUAGAUAAACCGCACUAGACAAAUCCGGUGCGAUAGCCUUAACUCAAAAUACUUUCUUUGCUUCUAUAUGAGCUGGUUCAACAUGGUAUAGAUUAGACAUCGGUACACAGGUCAAAUUUCUGUCAAAAUAAAUGAAUCGGACCUGUAUGUGAGAGAGCGUUGUUGGAAAAAGAGAUUCCAAUAAUCGAACGUUCUUUGACUUGUGAUAUUGGAUUCUUGGAGGACGAAAACACCAAUCAGGCAUUUAAUAUUGUGCAACCGUCUAGAGUUGGCAUAUUUGGCUCGACUCUGCAUAGCAAACACCGUGAAAUACCAGUGUCUGUCCUCAGUAAGAUGUUUAUAUGAGGAUCCCAAAUCAAUUCAAGCGGCAGGCUGCACGGAAACUUGAGAUUUUUUGACCCUUGGUGGUGACAAUUCAACAAAUCAAUCCUACAAGCAGGCCAUGAUUAUAUCAAAGCCUCUCAUGGCACCAUGUCAUCAAAAUGAACUUCAUAUUUUCUUAGACAGACAUGAAAAUAGGAUUGGUCAAUGCCUGUAAUCUAUUUAAUUACUCUUGUUUUCGCUAAUCACAGGUACCCAGAAACGUCUUUUCUCAAUAUACUGUGCUAAGAAGCAUUGAUGAU